GAGAUUUGGUGUAUCGCUUCCUGCCCCCGCCUCCCCUCCCCGCCCCCGUUCUCCGUCCUCUAUUGAAACACCUCGCCCAGCCUAGCGCACUGAGAGCUCUCAUUUUCCCCCCUUGCUCGGGAUGGUGCCACAGGAGGCUGUGCGGGCCCCGCUCCGCUUCGAAUGGUAGAGAUGGGGUUUCACCAUGUCGCCCAGGCUGGUCUCAAACUCCUGACCUCAGGAAGAAGCUAUCUAGAUAAAUGAUGGAUAGCCAGAGAAAGUUGAUCUGGGAUCAACAUUUUGCUUCAGUGUGCAGUGCCCAUGAAGUAUAGCAUCAAGAAACUAAUGCAAAACUGCAGAGAUCUUUCCGUGAGAUAAUUGAAUAUAAAAUCAUGAUUGCUUUUUACAAAUUUGGAUUCAUCCCAAAUCCAUUGUUCUUCAAAGGCAGGAAAAGUGAUCAGAGAAAAGGUGGACGGUAACAACACUUCACCUUGAGCUGUUAGAAUACCAGCAUUUAGCAUAACUGAUAUUUGUUGCAAUUAAGCCAUGCUACGUUGAGUGCAAAUGGGCAACUACAAUGAGGACCACUGGACUUCUGAAGUUCAAGUUCUAUUCUGUCUGAAGACAAUUUCCCUGCCAGAGGUCAAACUUUAGCACACACAUGCCAACACAGAAGUCAUAGUCCUGCAUUACAGUAUGCAUUUGGAAAUUGCCUUGUGAAACCGUCAGAAUACAGAAAACACAAAGUUUAAACGUUUUGGAUGCCUUCUGUAAGGUAAAGCAGUACCUCAGCAGUGAAUCAGGAAGAUGGACAGCAUCGAUAACCCUCCUUCCUCCACCUCACAAAAACUCACAAGCUGCAACCCUUCUGAUGUCCACUCCCACACAAACCAGCUUCAGGCCUUUUUCAAGAGUGCAGGAAAUUCUACCCCCCAAGUAUGGCACCUUGGCAUGCUGAGUAUUUUAAGCUGAAGGAAACAGAGAAAACCACAGAAGCAGAAAGGUCUUUCUGACCUCUCUUGAAGACCCUCAUGUGACAGGUGUCCUGCCCUACAUCCAGAGAGAAGGAAUGUUCCACAGACAGACUAAGAAGAAUCUGAAGAAUCAGGCCUUACUAAGUGCCCUCCAGUGGAUGCUGUGGGGCACCACCUCCUUGAGGACCAAGGCACUCCAGCUGCCAGGAAUUUGGCUGCUAACCUCACACAGCUGAGCCUUCCAUGAAAAUUGCUCUCUGCCAAAGAGAACUUCCUAGUCCAAGGUCAUGUCUACUCUCCAGAGAUGUGACUGGAGUGAUUUGCACCCGGAUGCCUAGACUCGCCAUCUGCUCAAAGACUGCUCAGAAAGCCCUCCCAUGCAUUCCCCUGCUGCAUACCAGCCCACUCUGCCUGCAGCUGCUGUCUGCAGGACUUCAUAUCUAUGCCACACUGUGUAAAAGCUGUGCUUCAAGAAAUCACAAAAACAUUUUCCUGCACCUACUACACAGCCUGAGUGCGGCAUAAGUUGACCUUGCUUGCUAAGAAAUGGGGCAAGAAAUGCUUUUUUGUGUGUGUCAUGUCUGUUUGUUUUUCAAUUAAGAGAGGAAAGCAUUAGGCAGAUGGAAUGUACAUGUGAGGAUGAGGAGACAGAAAACAAGUAGCCCUUUCCAUCAAGAUAGAGGGUUUUCUGGGGUUGCUGGCUAUUGAAUGUCACUCCUGAUUUCUCUUUCCAAGGCACUGUACCACCAGCCUACUGAGAUUGUGUGGGAGCUUUCAUG
ensembl:lncRNA MIR100HG mir-100-let-7a-2-mir-125b-1 cluster host gene